UACGAAGGGGGCUAGCGUUGCUCGGAAUGACUGGGCGUAAAGGGCGCGUAGGCGGACAUCUUUGUCGGGCGUGAAAUUCCAGGGCUUAACCUUGGGGCUGCGUUCGAGACGGGGUGUCUUGAGUGGGGAAGAGGGUCGUGGAAUUCCCAGUGUAGAGGUGAAAUUCGUAGAUAUUCGGAGGAACACCAGUGGGCGAAGGCGGCUUA
rnacentral:rRNA from 1 species